UACAGAGGUCCCAAGCGUUGUUCGGACUCACUGGGCGUAAAGGGUGCGUAGGUGGUGAGGUAAGUCGGAUGUGAAAUCUCCGAGCUCAACUCGGAAAUGGCAUUGGAAACUACCUUGCUCGAGGGUUGGAGGGGGGACUGGAAUGCUUGGUGUAGCAGUGAAAUGCGUAGAUAUCAAGCGGAACACCAGUGGCGAAGGCGAGUCCCUGGACAACUCCUGACACUGAGGCACGAAAGCUAGGGGAGCAAACAGG
rnacentral:rRNA from 1 species